GUAAGCCUUGGAAGGUUUUUUAAAUAUUUGUAAGAUAAAUGUGAGACGCAUGUGAUAAAUUGGUCCCACCUUCUUGACCAAUAUGCUUUGUUUUUUUUUUUUUUUUGAAUUAACAUUCACAAGCGUAUCGACACGGAGUCUCAUUAUUUCCAUUUUCUAAAUAAUAGUAUUCAUGUACUCAGAGCUUUCUUGUUUAAUUGCCAUUAUAUAU
rnacentral:misc_RNA from 1 species